GUGAGGAAUUUUCCGCAAUGGGCGAAAGCCUGACGGAGCAAUGCCGCGUGAAGGAUGAAGGCCUAUGGGUUGUAAACUUCUUUUCUCAGAAAAGAAUUAUGACGGUAUCUGAGGAAUAAGCAUCGGCUAACUCUGUGCCAGCAGCCGCGGUAAGACAGAGGAUGCAAGCGUUAUCCGGAAUGAUUGGGCGUAAAGCGUCUGUAGGUUGUUUAAAAAGUAUUCUGUCAAAGAUUAGGGCUUAACCCUAGAUAGGCAGAAUAAACUUUUAAGCUAGAGUGUGGUAGAGGCAGAGGGAAUUCCCGGUGGAGCGGUGAAAUGCGUAGAUAUCGGGAGGAACACCAAAGGCGAAGGCACUCUGCUGGGCCAAUACUAACACUGAGAGACGAAAGCGAGGGGAGCAAAUGGGAUUAGAAACCCUGGUAGUCC
rnacentral:rRNA from 1 species